UACGAAGGGGGCUAGCGUUGCUCGGAAUUACUGGGCGUAAAGCGCACGUAGGCGGAUUGUUAAGUCGGGGGUGAAAUCCUGGAGCUCAACUCCAGGACUGCCUUCGAAACUGGCGAUCUUGAGUCCGGGAGAGGUGAGUGGAACUGCGAGUGUAGAGGUGAAAUUCGUAGAUAUUCGCAAGAACACCAGUGGCGAAGGCGGCUCACUGGCCCGGUACUGACGCUGAGGUGCGAAAGCGUGGGGAGCAAACAGG
rnacentral:rRNA from 1 species